rnacentral:rRNA from 1 species
GACGAACGCUGGCGGCGUGCUUAUCACAUGCAAGUCGAACGGAAAGGCCCUGCUUUUGUGGGGUGCUCGAGUGGCGAACGGGUGAGUAACACGUGAGUAACCUGCCCUUGACUUUGGGAUAACUUCAGGAAACUGGGGCUAAUACCGGAUAGGAGCUCCUGCUGCAUGGUGGGGGUUGGAAAGUUUCGGCGGUUGGGGAUGGACUCGCGGCUUAUCAGCUUGUUGGUGGGGUAGUGGCUUACCAAGGCUUUGACGGGUAGCCGGCCUGAGAGGGUGACCGGCCACAUUGGGACUGAGAUACGGCCCAGACUCCUACGGGAGGCAGCAGUGGGGAAUAUUGCACAAUGGGCGGAAGCCUGAUGCAGCAACGCCGCGUGCGGGAUGACGGCCUUCGGGUUGUAAACCGCUUUCGCCUGUGACGAAGCGUGAGUGACGGUAAUGGGUAAAGAAGCACCGGCUAACUACGU